CUUCUCCGAGAGGUCAUCACACCACUGUGCUCCUCUCGUCAAGAAGAGGCGCGAGCACAAGAAGAAGCCGAGUAUUUCAAGCCUCCGAGCCCUAGAUCUUCUUCCUCUCCUUCGGUUGUAAGUCCAAGCAAAUCCCGAUAAAGGAAAAGGAAAAGUAUAAGAAGGAAGGCGACAAGGAGAUGCUGUGACAGUGUGUGUGAUGCCAGGACUAAGGAGAGAUCCAGGGUUCGCUAGCGAAUUUUCAGGACCUACCUAUUUAGAGUUUUAGUUUAUGUUAUUAUGAAGUUGAGAUUGUAAUUGAGUUAUUCCGCACUUGUAGCUUGUAUGUCCUAUCGUUGGAGUUCUAUCUGUUUAUUA